rnacentral:tRNA from 1 species
GAGGGUAGAGCUCAGUGGUAGAGUUCAUGCUUAGCAUGCAUGAGGUCCUGAGUUCAAUCCCCAGUACCUCCA